AGGUUUGAUUAUGGCUCAGAUUGAACGCUGGCGGGAUGCUUUACACAUGCAAGUCGAACGGCAGCACGGACUUCGGUCUGGUGGCGAGUGGCGAACGGGUGAGUAAUGUAUCGGAACGUGCCUAGUAGCGGGGGAUAACUACGCGAAAGCGCUAAUACCGCAUACGCCCUUCGAGGAAAGCGGGGGACCUUCGGGCCUCGCACUAUUAGAAGCGGCCGAUAUCGGAUUAGCUAGUUGGUGGGAUAACGGCUCACCAAGGCGACGAUCCGUAGCUGGUUUGAGAGGACGACCAGCACACUGGGACUGAGACACGGCCCAGACUCCUACGGGGAGGCAGCAGUGGGGGAAUUUUGGACAAUGGGGGAAACCCUGAUCCAGCCAUCCCGCGUGUGCAGUGAAGGCCUUCGGGUUGUAAAGCUUACUUUUGGCAGGAAAGAAGCGGCACGGGAUAAUACCCCGUGCAACUGACGGUACCUGCAGGCUUAAGCACCGGCUAACUACGUGCCAGCAGCCGCGGUAAUACGUAGGGUGCAAGCGUUAAUCGGAAUUACUGGGCGUAAAGCGUGCGCAGGCGAGUUCCGGAAAGAAAGAUGCUUAAAUCCCCAGGCUUAACUUUGGAACUGCAUUUUUAACUACCGAGCUAGGUGUGUCAGAGGAGUGGAAUUCCGCGUGUAGCAGUGAAAUGCGUAGAUAUGCGGAGGAACACCGAUGGCGAAGGCAGCCUCCUGGGAUAACACUGACGCUCAUGCACGAAGCGUGGGGAGCAAACGGGAUUAGAUACCCUGGUCACGCCCUAAACGAUGUCAACUAGCUGUUGAGGCCUUCGGGCCUUGGUAGCGCAGCUAACGCGUGAAGUUGACCGCCUGGAAGUACGGUCGCAGGAAUUAAAACUCAAAGGAAUUGACAGGGACCCGCACAAGCAGGUGGAUGGUGUGGAUUAAUUCGAUGCAACGCGAAAAACCUUACCUACCCUUGACAUGUCUGGAAUCCCGAAGAGAUUUGGGUGCUCGCAAGAAGGGCGGAACACAGGUGCUGCAUGGCUGUCGUCAGCUCGUGUCGUGAGAUGUUGGGUUAAGUCCGCAACGAGGCACAGCCCUUGUCAUUAGUUGCUACGAAGGGCACUCUAAUGAGACUGCCGGUGACAAACCGGAGGAAGGUGGGGAUGACGUCAAGUCAUGGCCCUUAUGGGUAGGGCUUCACGUCAUACAAUGGUCGGGACAGAGGUCGCCAACCCCGCGAGGGGAGCCAAUCCCAGAAACCCGAUCGUAGUCCGGAUCGCAGUCUGCAACUCGACUGCGUGAAGUCGGAAUCGCUAGUAAUCGCGGAUCAGCAUGUCGCGGUGAAUACGUUCCCGGGUCUUGUACACACCGCCCGUCACACCAUGGGAGUGGGUUUACCAGAAGUAGUUAGCCUAACCGUAAGGAGGGCGAUUACCACGGUAGGAUUCAUGACUGGGGUGAGUCAUGUCUAAGGUAG
rnacentral:rRNA from 1 species